rnacentral:rRNA from 1 species
AAGGCGACGAUCCCUAGCUGGUCUGAGAGGAUGACCAGCCACACUGGAACUGAGACACGGUCCAGACUCCUACGGGAGGCAGCAGUGGGGAAUUUUGGACAAUGGGCGCAAGCCUGAUCCAGCCAUUCCGCGUGAGUGAAGAAGGCCUUCGGGUUGUAAAGCUCUUUCGCAAGGGAAGAAAACUUACCCUCUAACAUAGGGUGAGGUUGACGGUACCUUGAUAAGAAGCACCGGCUAACUACGUGCCAGCAGCCGCGGUAAUACGUAGGGUGCGAGCGUUAAUCGGAAUUACUGGGCGUAAAGCGUGCGCAGGCGGUUUGUUAAGUCAGAUGUGAAAGCCCCGGGCUCAACCUGGGAACUGCAUCUGAUACUGGCAAGC